rnacentral:rRNA from 1 species
AUGCGUCUAAUAAAAAAAGUUUUCUUAUUUGUCUUUUUUCUAUCUUCCCAUUCAUCUCCACUACACCCCUCGUCUUCUAAUUCCUUCCGUUUGACUAAGCAAUUCUCUAUAAUAAUUCGCAAAUCCAAAUCUGCUAAUUGUUCCCUAAUAGCAGCUGCUCCUGUUGCAAUUUUCUGA